AACUUUUGGCAAUGGAUCUCUUGGCUUUCGCAUCGAUGAAGGACGCCGCGAAAGUGCGAAACGUAAUGUUAAUUGCAGAAUUCAGUGAAUCAUCGAAUCUUUGAACGCAUCUUGCGCCCCUUGGUAUUCCGAGGGGCAUGCCUGUUUGAGUGUCGGGAACUAACAUCGACCCUUGGCCUUGUAAUGGGGCCUCGGGGCGGCUUUGGUGGUUGCGGGUCCCUUUGGUGGUCCGCUCGUCCUGAACUGCCUUAGCCGGCCUCUACCGCCUUGGUCUGACGGCGGCGUGAUAAGGUAUUCGUGCCGUCUUCUUCGUCUUGCGAUCGGGGGGAUUGGGGGCGGCUUCUAAUGGUCUUCGGACGCUUCAUUGUGAUCUGACCUCAAAUCAGGUAGGACUACCCGCCGAACUUAAGCAUAUCUAUAAGCGGAGGAU
rnacentral:misc_RNA from 1 species